rnacentral:rRNA from 1 species
CCUACGGGAGGCAGCAGUGAGGAAUAUUGGUCAAUGGACGGGAGCCUGAACCAGCCAAGUAGCGUGAAGGAAGAAGGCACUGAGUAUUGUAAACCUCUUUUGUCAGGGGACAAAGGCGGCCACGUGUGGCCGUAUGAGGGUACCUGGAGAAAAAGCAUCGGCUAAUUCCGUGCCAGCAGCCGCGGUAAUACGGAGGAUGCGGGCGUUAUCCGGAUUUAUUGGGUUUAAAGGGUGCGCAGGCGGCGUGUAAAGUCGGCGGUAAAAUGCCGGGGCUCAACCCGGGCCCGCCGUUGCAACUGGGGUGCUCGAGUUGGAGAGAAGUAUGCGGAAUUCGUGGUGUAGCGGUGAAAUGCAUAGAUAUCACGAAGAACCCCGAUUGCGAAGGCAGCAUACCGGCUCCACACUGACGCUGAGGCACGAAAGCGUGGGUAUCGAACAGGAUUAGAUACCCCUGUAGUC